CACCUUAAAUUGAUUUAAAAUUUAAUGACACUUUAAUUAAAGUAAAUUUAAAUAAAGCUAAAACAUCUGCAAUAAAUAAUCUAAUAUGCAUACAUAUAAGUACACACAGAUUUAAAUAAGAAACUUCACCAUACUAAACUAAAUUUACUCUUUUAAAUUAUUCAAUAAUAGGCCUACAAUAAAGUAACAUUUACACGUGGAAUAUGAGUUAAAUAUUUCUCAAACGUUUACAAUUUUAAUAUUUAGCGUUUAAAUAAAGCUUUAAAUAGUUCAAAGAAUAUAAAUGUUUUUCAAUACAUAUAUAUAGCAAGGAACUUCCGUGAGCUUUCGGAGGCUUUAUAACUUUCUGGUCGGCAUUCAAUAGCAAUCGUCCAAUCCAUCGGUAAAAGCGGAGUGUUUGUCUGCAAGAUGACAUUAAGAUCAAUAAAAAAAGUUAGAAUUAUAUUUAUAAAGAAAAGGUUAACAUAUAUUAACAGAACCUAGUAAUUUUAAAAUGGAAUCCCAAACAGAGCUUAUAAUCUUGACAUUUUGCGUUCAUUUUGAUUUGGUUAUGCUAUAUACUACACAUAUAUAGUUUUUUUAGUUUAAAUAACAAAUAGUUCACAUUUCUUGUAUUUAUGUAUAGAUUGCCUGUUAAAGUAGAAUGUUAAAUAACGCUGAGAUCUGCUGAUCAUUAAGCCACAGCAUGAGAUCGUUGCGAAAAAUCCGUUAAUUUGCCUGGGCAGGGCAUUCGGGUUUUUAAACGACAGCUAAAUGCCUUACAUUUUCCGGGUGUAAAUUAAGUGACACAAAGCCUCUGCGGUACGUUUAUUUCAAAAACCUUGUUUUAUGAGAUUGAAACCACCGCAUUACCCACAUAUAACGUUUGCCAAACGAGACUGUUGGCGAGUUUUAUCCUUCUUUCAGAAUUUAAUACAUAAAAUAUUCUCGUUAAAACUAAAAUGUCCAACAUCGCGCACAAUAUAUAUUGAAAGUGCCACAGAAAAUGCUUGCCCACUAAUCACUAUGUUUGUCAAUUUUAACGAUCAAUUGAAUAAUAGUGAAUUAAUAAUGGUCUCUGAGUAGAUCACUUUUAGGAAAGCCGUACAGCUCCUGAAAUUGUAUAACUGCAAAAUUUCAUAAACAUGCAGCACUGCAAAAUGACAACAAGUUGGACGUGAAACAAACAUUGUCCUGUUAAAGGCAUAUUUAAUACGGAGUAUAUACUUUUUGUCCAAUGUUAUAUUAGAACAAUAGAAUAGCAGGUACCAGACUGUAAACAUAUAAAUUCAUAGAUCAUAAUUCAUUCAUUUUCAAAAUCCUCGCAAGCAUGAGUUCCGAACGCGAAUAUAGAUUUGAUCGUAAAAUGCUCAAUAAUUUCGGAAACGUCCCUUGCUAUAUAUACUUAUACGUUGGUAAAACGAGUCAUUAUGAUAUAGAGCUCACCAUAACAACAUUUAUAUUAUUGAUGAUUGUAUUCACAUUCGUUUAGUGUUGAAUUCAUGCAUAUAUUUAACUUCUUUGUCUGACGCCAGGUAGUUCUAUACUUGUACUUCGACUUCCAAAUGUACCAUUCAGGCAUUGCGUGAUUAUUUAAUUUGACUACAAAAUCACGGCUCGACGUUGCUUCAAAGUAUUAAUAAGGAUUAUACUAAGGAUUCGAUGGUAUUGACUUUUGUACGCAUACAAAAAAUACUGAUUGAAACGUUUAUAAGAGUCGACGGCUGGAACGAAUAUAUAUAGUAGUAUAGCUCCAUUAAAUUUAGUGCAUUGUUUAUCAGCGACGAGUUGCCCAUG